GACCCCGUCAUCAGGCCUCAUCUGUGACAUUUUCAAAAGAGGAUGCUUAUGCACAAAGGAGCUUAUGAGGAGCUUUUAUGCUGAGGUCUUGAUGGUCCUUUGGAAAGCCAUCCCUUGUUCGGCUUCAGUCCAAGGUUUUGAUGGCAAUGGUACUGAUCCUACUUCUGAGCUCCAGAGUUAAAUAUAAGACCUAGGCCUGACAAGAAUGUUCCAUCCUUUUGGCCACCAGACGACUCCGGGGUAUGGACAAAUGACAGAAGUCAGUAAUAAGAGAUGCCAUGUUGGGACUUAAGUGGAACUAUUAGAGAAGAAAGAUUCCCUUUGCACUGGGGUGGAGACAUGUAAGUCUAACAUGGCCAGAGGCUGCUCUGUACAAACAGGCAGAGGGCCUGCUUGAGCGAGAAGACCACACAGACAGCAAAUCCCAGAAACUGACGGCAAGAGAAACACAGACAGACCAAACCAGCCAAGUCCUGAUGUUCCAUCUUACAAAUUCAGCCAGGCCCAAUGCUCCUGAACUUCUCAAUUCCAUGAAUCAAACUUUUUUUUUUCCCCUUGAGCUUUAAGGCAUUUUGAAAUGGAUUUUUGUCAACUGCAAUAGAAAAGGGUUCUGAACAACAAAAGGGUUCUGGUGAUGAUAUUGCCAACUAUUUGGCCCAUAGCAGGCUUUCAACAAAUGUGAGUUCUCGUUCUCUUCCUUGGUCAAAGAAUGUGGGUCAAAUAGAAAGGACAGUGAUAGUACCUACCGUACAGAUCUGUUGUGAGAAUCACAUGAGUUGGUGCCACCCAAGUGCUUGGCACAGUGCCUGGCACUCAAAAGGACUCACUGAACAUUAGCACUAACACCACUGUACAGCGGGAGACUUGGAAGAGACAGAAUUCAGAGACCUUGAGUGUAGUUUUCCACUAUUUCAUGAACCUAUUAAGUUGUAGUAUCAACAACUUGGAGAAAACACACUCAAAAAUCAGAAUAACUGCAAAGGGCCAUUCCUUGGUUGUGGUAGAAAAUGCUGCCACAGUGAGCAGGUUUGAACCCCCCGGUGCCAGGCCUGCCUCCUGAAGAAAUGAUCCAGAAGGUUUUGAUCUGCCUCAAUGCUCUACUUAUGUCAAGUCUGUUUGCCAAUCAUCCAGUCUUACUGUGCCUCAAAAGGCAGAAGAAAAGCACUGUUGUUCUAGCUAAAAAACUGCAUUGCCAAAGGGAAACGCAUGUCUCCUCUGUAUUUACCAAUUUUCUAUGUGAGCUCCCCAAUGCUUUCUUCUUUCGCAUUAAUAAUAAUUUUUUAAAAGUUGGACAGAAAAAAGGUCCUUGUCCCCUCUAGGCUGUAUGCUUAGCCAACUCAUUCAUCCUAACACUAAUUUAAUUUUACUUUCCUUGCUCUAUAAGAAUUUUCUUUUUCACACUCAUUUUUUGUGCUACUGGGAGUAGGAAUUUGGUAAAAGCUCAAGUCCAGACUCUGUUGGAUGAAGUUUAAAGCUCUGGUUACUUUAAAUGAAGCUUUUGAUGAAAUAUAUGCAUACAUGUAUAAUAAACAUCAUAAAAAUAUUUCAGACAGGAAAUAUUAAGAUAUUAUUCAAUUCAUAUUUUCCAUUUGGACUCACUGAGAUUUUCAGAAGUAUAAACAGUUGUCAUUUUCUAAAGGGAAAAUACAUCUUGAAUGGAAGGAUUUUAAAGCUGUUUACUACAUGACACAGCCCUUCCCUAUAAGAAACCUGUAGUAAAUACUCAUGUUUUGGCUGGCUGGGUAUUGAUGCCUGUUUGGCCCCAUGGUCCUUCUUGGUCACUGUGAUCCAUUUAGGGGUGGGUAGAGGAUCCAAGGUGGGCCAGUCAGAAACAAUCUGGAGGGUUUUGCCAGAAUUGCUGGGUACAAAGUGUUUCUUUAUGCUGUGGCAGCUGUGGGACUUCUCUGCUCCCCUGUGGUGACAGUCUGAGACUAAAACCAAACAGUGCUGAGCAGAGCCAAGAGAUAGGCAUGCUGACCUUGUUAACCUCACUUGAUUAGUUAAACUCACACUAGGUGGCCUCCAGUUUACCAAUGGGCUUCAAACAUAUUUGCACAAUACUUUUUCCUGGAGAAGGGAUGACAUGAAGGUGAGUCUAGUGUUCCUAUGCUCACCCCAAAAUACAACAUACUUCAUAAACUUGCUGGUCUGCAGCACUAAAGGGCUUAUGGUUACCGUCAGACGCCCGAGGAAACCUGAGAUGACCUCCUUCCUUAUUCUUCUGUUCCAGCCAAUUAGGAACAGACCCAAUCUGCCAGCAGAUUCUGUUGCUCCCACCUUCAAAAUAGAUCUAUACACAAUGAAUUCUCACCACCUACACGGCUACCCUCAUCUGAGACACAAUCGUGUCCUUCUUGAACUAGUCCAGUAGUCUCCCCGAUGGUCUCUGUUUCUGCCCCUGCUCCUCUUCAGUCUGUAUUCAACACAGCAGCCAAGUAAUCUUCAAGUCAAAUCAUAACAUUCUUCUGUACCAAACCCUACUCAUCUUCGAGUGAAAGGCAGUGCAUUAACAAUGGCCCACAAGGCUGUGCAGCAUGACCCGAUCCUGCUCUACCUUGUUUCUUUCUGAUACCCUUUUCUGCCACCUUACCCCUGUCUUCACGUCUCAGCCCCACUGACCUCUGGCUGUUCCUGGUGCACACCAGGCAUGCCCUUGCCUCAGGGCCGUUGCAUGUGCUGUUUCCUCUACUUGGAACUUGCCCCAGGUGGAGCCCAUUUGGUUCCCUCCUCCUUUAGGUCUUUGCUCAGGUAUCAUCUCCUUGACCACUCUGAACACUCCUGCUAGGCCCCCAUGGGCCCCUCCCCUUUCCAGAUUUAAGCUUUCUCCAUUAUCCAGUUACCACCAUCUUAGAAAUUACAUGUUUUACUUAUUUGCUUUGUUUAUUGCCUGCCUCCUCCACUAAACUGUAAGCUCCAUGACAGUAAGGAUUCUUAUCUGUUUUACUCACUUCUUCAGAAAUCAUUUGUGUCUAGAAGACUGGCACAAAGUGUGGGCUCAAAAUUGAGUGAAUGGAAAGAAGGGAGGGAGAGAUGAAAAUAUGACACCUGUUUCUCACUGGUGAAGCCUGUCAGAUAAAGGGCAGAAGCCUCCUACGUUAGUCUGAGAGGUGAGGGCACCCAGGCCAAACGAGUGGGCUUGACGGAGUUGCUCAGCUGAGCUGGCUGAGACGGUCCGGCUGAAAAAACACAACUUCUAAACAGAGGCUGCAACCUGGCUUCCCAUGAGAAGCAGUGAGAAUCCGGAUAGCUUACAAUCUGCCAUUUUAAUCUUACAUAUAUUAAAUACCACAUAAUAUGCUAAAUGUUUUCCUAUCACCCAAUUUAAUUUUCAGUGAAAGACUAUGAAAAAAAAUUCUAAGGUAAAGAGGAGUUAUUAUGUGACUACAACAAAGUAAGCAUCAUCUCAGAAAAACUGCAAAUGCUAUGACUUGUUAACUCAUUUUGCUGGUUCUGAAACUAACAAUCAAAGUGGACACGGGAUUUGGAUCUAGCAAGUAGCAGAGCUUGGAUCUGAACUUGGAUCUCCCUGGUUCUCAAACAAAAACCUCUUUGGUACUAAAUCCCAGAAGCUUACCAUAAAUGCCUUGACCUCAAAAGUGGAUCUGGCCCUGCCAUCAUCUAACAGAGACAAGAUGGCCUUCCGGGUGGCAAGACCAGAAACACUUAAGCUACCUCACCUUCCUGAAUGCAGAGGCCGUGGGAUUCCCCUCCCGUGAGCAAAACCUGGCCAGCAUCUGGCCCCCAAAUCUACGCUGUAGGUGCUGCCUGGCUUACCUCCAGUAAACGAGCACAGCAAUGAGAAGGAUGAGGCACACGAAGGUCAAGGCUGAUACCACAAUCAGAGGGAUGAUCCACUCCAUCCUCCCUGGAGCAGGGCGGCUUAUCAUUCCAGAGGUGUUUUUUUCCGCUGCCAAGAGAAAUCAUCCCAGUUAGAGGACAGAGGUUAGUGGAGGUGGGAGCCAGAAUUGAUGCAGAGUUCUGUUCCAGUUUUGUGUGGUUUCUGGCGAACUGGGCCAUUUGCUCUGAGCUGCCCCAUGACAGGAGGGGCAAUCCGCAGCCCUCACCAUUUCCUGCCCCAUCCCAACCCACACAGGGCCUCUUCUAUGGGCUGCAUUCUGUAAUUGGCAGUUAUAUGGAUUUACAGAUACAGUUGAAGGUGUUUUUAGACAGCUGUACAGAAGACAUAGACAUUCCAGCCUUACCCCAAGAACAUGACCGACCCAGAAGAGCCUUUGAAUGUGCUGAGGACAUGUGCUGAAGUCUCAAAGAAGCAAGGGUGGAAUGGCUGUCCAAGAGCCUCUCAGGUUCUCUAGGGCAAGGGCAAGAGGGCUGGCAUGAUGGGUUUCACUAGGAUAACUAGGAGAACUGGCUGUGACUACGAUGGCCAUCUAUUCUUUGCUGCUCAGCAUCCCUUACUCUUUCCUGUAGUAACAACUACACCCCAAUUCUGCUUUGGGAAACCACCUUUCCCUAACAGACACAGUCAUGGUGGGACAAUCAUCGGAGUGUGGGGCUCCCUGCUCUGGUCAACGAUUUAGCACUCAAGCCAGGACAAUGACAUCUUGCCCUAGAAUCUCAACCACCGACUCUAAGACUGAGCAACAGCACAUCCCAGCAGGAGCACCUAGGUGCUUCUGUCCGUGGGCUCCUACCACCCAGAUCCCCAGAGAUCCUGUUUUUCCUAAAAUAUGCUUCUCCAGUUUGUCCUUUGAUCCUAUCACCUACCCCAGAUCCUUCCAAAAGCUCCUAUUUUCUUUCCCAAGACAGGAAGCCAUACCACACCCUAUUCCCAGAGCACGUCUGUAACCAGCAGCCACAAUCUAAAGGUUAGCAGGGAAAGCUUGCCAAAUAGUUUAGGAUUCUCUCUGGUCGGCCAAUACCUGUUAACCAGGCAGCUCCUUCCUCCACCUCUCCAGGCCCUGAAUGUCUUCAGAAGUCCCCAGGAGCCUCAGCAGAAGAUCCUAUCUUCCCUUCCACUGUGAAGAAGAUGCCCGGAACAUGCCAGGUGGCCCAAAUGAAGCCCUGGUUGGGGUGCUGGGGCUGGGAAGAGCACAGGUGCACAGAGGCAAGCAGUGAAAAAGCAAAGGUUGCCUGUGAUCACAGGGAGAAGCCCCUUAAAAAAAUCUAACAUUGGCUGCAGGCUGACUUGAGCCCAGCAAGGAUUCCUCCUGCACUGCAAAAACGAGGCCAGCGUUCAGCCAGCCCGGAGUGUCCCUCUGCAGGAUGGACUAAAUGCAGAGCUAAUCAGGUUGAGUUUCCAGGUGAGAGAAGGUAGGCUGAGUAGGGAAGAAAGAAUUGGCUAUGGGAGCAGAUUUUUAAAGAGGCAAGACUCCCGAGUCAGGAAGAAGUGUGUUACGAUGCGUUUCACUGGAUUUCCUCUAAUGCAUUUGAUGUUGACCACCUCCUUUGUUUCAGGCACAGGCCUGUGACGCAGACAGGACCUGAUGUAUCCCCUGCUCACAGGUAAGAAGACAGAGUCAAGUAGGUGCAGCACACUCUGAUUAAAAACCUCCACAGAGCACUUUGCCAUUUAUAAAGUGCCUUCCUAGCUGUGCCUGCCCAUUUUCCUAACUCCCUGCUCCAUUUUUUCAUUAGAUAGGAGAGAUUCUUACCAAGCCCCUACUGUGCACAGGCCUGGUGCGAGGGGAUGGGGACACAUCAGUACAUCAGAUAGUAGCACUGCUGUACCCAUGGGGAGGAAUCUUUUAAAUGGGGAGAGGCAGGCACAACAACAAUUAAUUAGAAUGCAAUGAAUGUGGCACCAGGGGAAGCACAGGGGGCCAUAGGGGAAUAGCUCUCCAAGCCCAGGUCUCCAUGAGCUCCCCAACGAAGGCAAGUGUUGAAGGAUGAAGGGGAGUUAGCCAAACAGAGAGUUGGGGAAGAAGGGUGUUCUGCACGGAGACCAUCAAAUCAGUGGGAGUUCAAGAAUGAGAGGGAGGAGGACCCAGAUGGGGAAUUGGAAGGCAGAUGAAGCCAGGGCCUUUUAGGCUGAAAUAAAGAAACUGAAUUUAGUCGUAAGAGCAGUAGAAACUACUGCAGGGUUUUAAGCCAAAGCAGACAAAGAUCAGGCAUGCCUUCUCUCCAUCAACAUAAUGCUUUUAUAGCAGAGCUCUGGUGGCUGGCCAGAGGAACCAGAGUUGCAAAUAAGAAUAAUUUUGUGGGGUCCCAGAAGGGGGUGGCCCAGCCAGGCAAUUAUCUGGCUGGUGGGGGAGGGGGGGGAAUCUCAAAGACCUGGAUGUCCUGUUAAUGGAAAACAAUGUUGGGAGGGUUGACGCUAUAGGCCACAUGUUCAGUUAAAAUCAGUAUCCACUCUGUGAAGCCCUUGGGUACAGGAGGGACUCUCAGUGUCUUAUUCCUCUCCUCACUCCUUACAGAACAGGAUUCUUGCCUGUGCUGCUACAAAGAAUGCAAACUCCAUGUCCUAUUCAUCCCGAACCACAGAAAGGAACUCUUGGCCAAAAUAGUCCCUCACACUUAUAUCCCUAAACAAUCACUGGCAAUACCACCUCUGUGGUAUUUCUAUCAUUUUUUUUUUUUUUCUUUUUUGAAACAGGGUCUCACUCUGUCACCCAGGCUGGAGUGCAUGAUCUCGGCUCACUGCAACCUCCGCCUCCCACGCUCAAGCGAUCCUCCCACCUUAGCCCUCCAAGUACCUGGAAUUACAGGUGUGUGCCACCACGCCUGGCCAAUUUUCAUAUUUUUAGUAGAGACGAGGUUUCACCAUGUUGCUCAGGCUGCCCUCAAACUCCUGACCUCAAGUGAUCCUCCCGCCUCGGCCUCCCAAAGUGCUGGGAUUACAGGCGUGAGCCACCGCGCCCAGCAUAUUUCAGCCAUUCUAAAACCAGUGAAAAGUGACCACUCCAGAAUUUCUCGGCCUUGGGAAGGGGUUAGGGAGUGACCAUCUGGUUGUGUGGAUCAGUGGCACAUUAUAUCGUCCCUCAAGCCACAGGGGCAUCUCUGUGUUGGUGAUAAUGUCUGUCCCCCUCUCCUCCUCUACAGGGUGAGUGUUCAGUUUUCAUUAGAUUCUCAGAGAGGUUCAGGCCCCAGAAAAAGUGAGAACCACCAGCAUAGAGAGAGAAUGAAGGUCCUGAAGACAAGGCUCUUGAGUCACAGCCCAGGUCAGAGCUGGGCUCAAACUUGAUUUCCACAAUGGAGUCAUUUCUCCCUCUAACAUUUGGUGAAAGUGUGUAAUAAUUGGCGGGGGGGGGGGGUUCCCGUAGGGGGUUGGAGCCUAUCUGAAAUCCCACUGUGGACAGUCUCCAAAUGGUAAUUUCUGUGGAGGAGCUCUCAGGUUGGCAAUAACUUGUAGUGUCAGUGAGAGACCUAAGGAAGUUUUUCUGACAAGUUUCACUCUGACCUUGACUAAUGGCAGGCAGUUUCAUUGGCUUGGGUCUUUUACAUAAAAGCCAAGCAAAAAUAAGAGCGACUGAAUUUUCAUGUGGGGCAUGAUAAAGUUGAUUUCAUUUUCAAAUUCACAAUACUGCUUUGUCUUCCUGGUGCCAGGAACCUGGAAUUGGAUUCCAUCUCCAGGUGACCAAGUCAAAUCUGCUCCUGUCACUUUCCUAAGUAGCUCCUCAUAGCCCUCAGGAUACCCCUGAGUGGGGAAAGCAAGGCUCUUCAGGAGCAGAGCCUUCCAUCCCCAACCCAGCAUCAUCUCCUGCUGUUCCCUGUCACGGUUCCAGCCACACUCACCUAAUCAGUGACCAUGCUGAGCCAUGGUCCCGCCUCUCUGCCUUUGCCCCUCCCAUUCCUACUGCAGGGAGUGCCUUUCCUUUCCUGAUGCCAGAAUUCAUCUUAUUGAUCCUUCAGUCCUGGUUCAAAUGCUGCCUUCUCUGUGAGGCUUCCCGAAGCCGCCAGUUUGUACUAUCUCUUAAGGGCAGAGCAGAGAUUAUAGGUUCAAAUCCUGGCUUGGCCAUUUUCUGUGUGACUUUUAACCAAUAACUUAAACCAGUUUGGGCCUGGAGUUCUUCAUCUAUCAAAUGGGAUGAAAAGAGCCUACUUCAUAGGACUGUUGGGGAAUUCAAUGAGAAGGUGCAUGUAAGCACCUAGAAGUGUGCCUGGCAUCAAGCAAAUGACAAGUACCACCACCACUAUCAUCAUCUUGUGUUGCUCUUACUGCACACAUCAUACUCAAUUAUAAUCGCUCUUUUGUUACUCUAGGUCCCCAAAGGCAGGGCUGAUUUCCGUCUGUGUAUGGAAGAACAGUUACAAAGCUCUGCCUCCUACUAGCUUUGCAACUUUGGGCAACUAACCUAACCUCGUUGUGCCUCAGUCUCCUCCUCUGUAAAUGGAAGUAAUAAUAUUGCAUACGGCAUUGUGGUGGGAUGAAGAUUAAAUGAGUUAAUGCAUACAAAACACUUAGAAUGUUGCCUGGCACCUGGUUAAUGUUAACUAUUGUGAUUAUUGUCAUCACCACCACCCCAGCUUCGGCAACACCAUCACCCGCCACCAUCCUAGCAACAGCAUCAUUACUUAUCAUCACCACCACUCUCUUCCUCAGCACCCUCACACAGCAGCAGGAGAUGGUGAGCACUCACCGGGUGUUUGCUGAAUCUGACUCCUCUCUGUAACAUCUGAGUGUGUAAGUGGCAGUCAUACAGAACUUCAGAUGUGCUGAGUAUCAGCACAAAGGGCUGCCUAUGAUGAGAUUGCUGGUAAAGAGCUAGAAUCUCAGUUUGCCCUGAGACUAGACUGUAUCAUACUGCUUUUUCCCUCUUUUUUUUGGUAGAGACACUUUCUUGAUAUGUUGCCCAGGCUGGUCUCGAACUUCUGGGCUCAAGGGAUCCUCCUGCCUCAGCCCCCACUCAAAGUGCUGGGAUUAUAGGUGUGAGCCACUGUGCACGGCCCCCGUACUUCUUGCUGUGUCCUUCAGAAGAAAUACCCGUCCUGCUCCCUGACUCAAUUUGUGGCCCUAAUAAAACAGCAAGCUGCUAGGACUACUACAACACACAAAAUGUGGCCCUGAGUAUACACCCAUAUCAUUAUAUGCCCUCAGACACCGACAAUCCAUGAGGCUAAACUUCCCCAUGCCUAGGCCUCCAGAGACCAGAACAUGCUGUAGGCCUUUCGGUACAACAGCUGCAGCGUGCCACAAGAUGGGCAAUUCUGCACCCCAGACUCAGGCAGACCUGAGUACAAAUUUUGACUUAGGCCUUUCCAGCUGUGUGGCUUUGGGUAAAUGCCCAUCUCUGAGUGUCUGUUCACUCCUGUAUCAAAGGGAGACAAAUGGUAACACUCACCUCUCGGGGAGUCCUGAGGAUGAAAAAAGAUCGUCCGUGUGAAAACAGACUAUGUAAGUUAUGGCUAUGUAACUUAUAGGACCAAAUGCAAAAUGAAAUCAUGGGGCCCAUUCGAAAGUUAUAAAAGAGUUUUGAGAAGGUGACAGUAGAGUAUGAGACAGUAUGAAAGCAAGCAUAGGCCCUUCUGAGCACAGGGCCUGUGUGAGUGCACAGGCUGCCUGCUUAUGAAGCUGCUCUGGAUCAGUCAGGUACCAAGCACAGUGCCUGACACAGAGGAGGUGCCCAAGAAAUGUUCAUUCUUUUCUUUCCUUCAAUGGAGCCAAACAACAAUUCUGACAGUUUAGUAACACUAGAUGCUCCCCUCUGUCAGGAGCAGCACACUUUCACUCGGAGCUUUGCUGGUAACCUAGCUGCCUCCUGAAGGGUCCAGCAGAACUGAGCUGCCCAGUUACUGGGGGUUUGCUUCCCUCCAUGAUGCCCAAAUUGUGACACCAAGAUAAGGACAGGACCUCUGGGUUAACAGAGCUCCUCCUCACCUCCAUCUCUGGUUCAUCCAGAUGAUGUAGUUUUCCCAGCAGGACUAGCCCUUCAAUUCCUGCCUGACUUGGGUUAUGAACUGGCAACCCUGGUUUGACACCCCUUCCAAGUAGUUAUUUUUUAAUUGUGACAUAGCUACCAACAUUUAAUAAGCAAAGGAAUUCAGAUAAAAAUCAGCAAUGGUAGCUUCCACUAGAAAUGUUCAAGGUUGGCAACAAAAGCCUGAAUUCCCACGUGGCACACAUCAGUUGGAACCAAGCGGCACACUCCCUUCAGACAGGGUGCGUCUCACUGGUUUGCCACAGUCGUCACUACUCCCUAAUGUCACACCAGACCAGCUUUCCUCACUCCCAACUCCCACUGCAAGCUCACUCUGGCCAGCCUGGUUUCAGUUUGCAAGAUGGCACUCUGACCCAAUGAGUCUGCAGAACAACACUAACUCGGGUCUUUUGAAAAGGCCUCAAAAACGAAAGUAAAAAUCAUGGUUUAAUAAACUCACCAUGAUCCUGAUACCAAUAACCUGGCUCAAGAGAAGAGGCUCUUUCUGUACAAAGCAGCUUUCUCCAAUUCUGUUUAUUUUUGAAGAGAUUUUAUUUUUAGGCCAAUUAGAAACUAACCAUGCUGUUGCUCUGCCCAUAUAACAUAGUCCAUUCUCCUCAGCACAUUUGGAUCUGUGUGUAGAAAAGAUGACAAUGAGGAAAGGAGUAUCAACUGAUACCCAGUACUCCCCCAGUGGAUGUAAUGUGCAGGUGAACAGCUACUCAGAGGGUGAUGUGAGGCCAGUUAGAGCCCAGACUCAAAGAAUGAGCCUGCUCCUGAAAUGUCUUCCCCAUGAAACUUGGAGCAAAAUGCUAACGAACCCUCUCUGAGCGUAUGCAGGAGGAAGGUAAGGUUAACAACCUCCCCACAGCCGUUCUUUCUCUCCGUACAGCCUUUCUUUCUCUCCGUCUUUAUUUCAGCACCCAGCAGAAUCUGAGUAAAGUGCCUCCAUUCUGCUUUUUAAAAAAAAAUUAAAAAAAAAAAAGAAAAGAAAAACAGUUUUCAGUGGCAUAUGUCAUCACUGAAUUAAUGCUGUUUGCCUUUUACUGGCUUGGCUCUCAUCCCAGUAGAAGCAAAUAAAAACGGAGUACAAUGUACUAUAAAUGCUACCGGCAGCAAUACAUCAGAUGGACCCAUCUGAAAUGCCUCCUACCCUCCAGGAAGGGCUCAACUUCUGCUACAGGACAAGAACCGCUCUGGUGUCAAGACUAAAACUAGCUUGGAUCCAAGAGGCCUCUAUCAGGAGUAGGGAAGAGCAAGAUUCUUUAAUUUGCAAGGAAGAUAAAGAGAAGGACGAUAUGCAUACUUAUAAAUUUAUAGCCUGUUUCCAUCGUGGGGAAUUUCAACAUAUUUGUUCUGAGCCAUACCACUCAUUAAAAACCUCCCACAUCUGUGAAUUAAGGUGGCUGCUUUAAAAAAAAAUAGUGGAAAAACACAUAACACAAAAUUUACCAUCUUAACCAUUUCUAAGUGUCCCAUUCAGUGAUGUUUAGUUAUUCACAUUGUUGUGCAACUGAUGCGCAACUGAUCUCCAGAACUUUUUCAUCUUGCAAAACAGAAACUCUAUAUCCAUUAAACAACUCCCCAUUUCCCCUUUCAUCAGCCUCUGGCAACCACCAUUCUACUUUGUUUCUUUGAGUUUGACUAUGCUAGAUAUAGGUGGAAUCAUGUAUUACUUGUCUUUUUGUGACUGGCUCAUUGCACUUAGCAUAAUGUCCUCAGGGUUCAUCCAUGUUGUAGCAUGUGAGAGGAUUUCGUUCCUUUUACAGGCUAAACAGUUAUUUCAUUGUAUGUACUAUAUGCCACAUUUUGUUUAUCCAUUCACUCAUUGAUGAACACUUGGGUUGCUUCCACCUCUUGGCUAUUGUCAAUAAUGUUGCCAUGAACAUGGGUCUACAAAUACCUCUUUGAGAUCCUGCUUUCAAUCCUUUGGGCAUACAGUUAACCCACCAACAACAUAGGCAUUAGGGGUGCUAAUCCCUGAAUAGUCAGAAAUUCAUGUAUAACUUUUGAGUCUCCAAAAGCUUUCCUGCUAAUAGCCUACUGAUGACCGGAAGCCUCACCAAUAACAUAAAUAGUUAACACAUAUUUGUAUAUUAUUUGUAUUAUAUGCUAUAUUCUUACAAUAAAGUAAGCUAGAAAAAAAUGUUAUAAAGAAAAUCCUAAGGAAGAAAACAUAUUUAUAUUUACUAUUCAUUAAGUGGAAGUGGGUCAUCAUAAAGGUCUUCAUUCUCAUCAUCUUUCAGUAGGUUGAUGAGGGGAGAAUGAAAAGGGGUUGGUCUUGCUCUCUCAGGGGUAGCAGAGACAGAAGAAAACUCGUGUAUAAGUGGAUAUAAGCAGUUCAAGACUGUUUUUCAAGGGUCAAGUGUAUACCCAGAAGUAGAACUGCUAAAUCAUAUGGUAAUUCUGGUUUCACUUUUUUAAGGAACUACCAUACUAUUUUCCACAGGGGCUGCACAUUUUACAUUCCCACUAGCAGUGCACAAAGGGUUCCCUUCUUUCCACAUUUCUGCCAACAUUUAUUUUCUAUAUUUUUGAUAGAAGCCAUUCUAACGGGUGUGAAAUGAUAAGGUGGCUGCUGUUUUUACAGGGCCACAAAACUGGCCUUUUAUUUUUCUGGAGCCCUGACGUUACCCAAACCACUGCUGCAGAGAAAUGAUUGUUCAUCAGUUACAAAUAAAUAUGUUCUCUUGCAACAGGA